GCAAUCUUGGUAAGAAAGUAUUAUUCUGUGGUUUAACUUGGCCGAUCUAGGCUCUCAUUUAAUCAAUAUCUUCAGAGUACCUGUUGUGUUAGAACGUAAGCAGAUUUAUUUUAAUGUCUCAACCGUAAAAGACUUGAGGUGUAACACAGACAAAAGAAAAGAGGUCAAAGGGGAUCUAAUAUUUCCCUGUUUUUUUAUCAUCACGUUGUAGACUUAGGAGUGAAGUGGCCAUAGAGCUGGCGUUGCUGCAGUCUGUGAGGAAACGAGCAGGCGAGUGUCUUUGUGACGUCCUGCUGACGCUUUGCUGUGACCUUCAUUAUUUCAGCUGCUGCGGCCUUGGAUGCCUAUCUGCCAACUGAGCCAUUCUGGAGCUCCGUCUGAGUUUUGUGGCGAGAAUUCAACGUGUUCACCCACAUCACCCAAGAGCACCGGGCCUGGCAUGUGAUAUUUCCAGAAUCAUCUAAGAAACAUAUAAUUGAUGAGAACCAACUUACUCUCAUUGAGAAGGAUGAAAAGAAGAGCUGUGAAAUAAUAAGUGGGAUGAGAUAGAAGUUCUGCAAAAAGAAAUGAAAACAACUUUGGUUUACACUGGAGUUUCAGAUAUCGCUGAGAAUAGGAUUAAAAGCAUAGAGGUUAUUGAAAGCAACGUGAAGCAGACCAUGGGAAGGAUCAGUGAAGAGGGGCAGGAGUAAGUACUGACAUCAUGGUAAAAGAACUAGAGUAGUAUAUGCCGUUUUCAAGAUCAGUUAAUCAAAACUAGAUUAGACUAGACAGA
rnacentral:lncRNA from 13 species